rnacentral:tRNA from 1 species
GUCCCUGUCGCUUAGUUGGUUAAAGCGGAGGUCUCAUAUUUCGUCUAUGAGUAACAUCAUCGAUUACGCAAUCCUCAGCCCUGAGCUCGAAUCUCAGCAGGGACA